rnacentral:lncRNA from 1 species
ACCCCCCAUAUUUCAGUCAACCUUCCCAAAUCCCUUAAAAAUAUUUAAUUCUAUAUAAUUGAUAAUUAUGGUACAAUUGACAUACUCAACUCCUUUUUAAAAAGGUGUUAGGUAUCAAUAGAGACCUGUUUGAGCGCAGGGUACUACUCACCUCUCCACACUCUCGUCUGUUCCUUUGCAGGGCAUCUCCGCGAUCGGCCUCCAGCGGGCCUCCGUGAACGCUGCUCUGGUUUUCACCACACUCUGUCACCGGUGGCUUUGGAUUCAGCCAUCUUCAUCUAGAGCUGGACUUCGCAGAGCAUCUAAAUGAAACCAGGCCCCAGGACCUAACACACACACGGUCAGGAAGCGCACUAAGUCACCUCUGGAAGGACACCGGAGGCCACUCCACACGGGAGGUUCAGCAACCCCCUUGGUCGCACCGGUUCUCUGAGAUUUCGCGCAGAGUGGAAUCUGUGAAAAGCCUGAAUUCAGGCACUCCAGCCGAAAGACCUCAUUCCUGCGCUAAGAGAGCAGAGGGACCUGAUCAAGGUGCGAGGAGAGCCCUCCACCGGCUUUUUCCUCCGCGAAGCCUGGUGCCA